UGGGGAAUAUUGCACAAUGGGCGCAAGCCUGAUGCAGCCAUGCCGCGUGUAUGAAGAAGGCUUUCGGGUUGUAAAGUACUUUCAGCGGGGAGGAAGGGAGUAAAGUUAAUACCUUUGCCCAUUGACGUUACCCGCAGAAGAAGCACCGGCUAACUCCGUGCCAGCAGCCGCGGUAAUACGGAGGGUGCAAGCGUUAAUCGGAAUUACUGGGCGUAAAGCGCACGCAGGCGGUUUGUUAAGUCAGAUGUGAAAUCCCCCGGCUCCACCUGGGAACUGCAUCUGAUACUGGCCCGCUUGUGUCUCGUAGAGGGGGGUAGAAUUCCAGGUGUAGCGGUGAGAUGCGUAGCGAGCUGGGGGAAUACCAGUGGCGAAGGCGGCCCCCUAGGCGAAGACUGACGCUCAGGUGCGAAAGCGUGGGGAGCAAACAGG
rnacentral:rRNA from 1 species